GCGGCUCUGGCCCAAACUGGGAGAGGCGCCUGGCUUAGGACCAGGAGGUUCAGGGUUCGAAUCCCUGGAGCCGCA
rnacentral:tRNA from 1 species